GAAUAUUAGAGGGUAUUACUUUCCUACAACAAAAAGGUAAAUCUACACAAAAAAUCUAUAAGUAAUCACAGAAACUACCUUGUAUCCACAUUGAUGCAAGAUAUCCUGAAGGUCUUUGGAACACAGUAAUUAGAUGGUACUUAGGAUCAAUUUCACAGAAUCUUAAACCUUUCAAAUGAGUCUGUCCUGAAAUGAGCCAAUUUUUUCAUUUCAUAGUCUUGGAACCACAGAAGAAUUACAGAAACAUUUUUUUAUUUUCCUUUGCUCUACUGAACCACACCACCCUCAGCCUCAUCUCAUUCCUUUUGAUUCAACCCCC